rnacentral:rRNA from 1 species
GCGGCCUAUCAGGUAGUUGGUGGUGUAAUGGACCACCAAGCCGAAGACGGGUAAGGGCCUUGAGAGAGGAUACCCUGAGAGAGACACUGAGAUACUGGUCCCAGCCCUACGGGGUGCAGCAGUCGGGUAAACUUCGCAAUGCGCGAAAGCGUGACGAGGGAAUUCCAAGUGCUUGCCUUAGGGCAGGCUUUUGCCAAGAGCAAAUAUCUUGGCGAAUAAGUGGUGGGCAAGACCGGUGCCAGCCGCCGCGGUAACCCCGGCGCCACAAGUGGGAACCACUAUUAUUUGGUCUAAAGCAUCCGUAGCAGGUCGGGUAAAUUUCCUGUGAAAUUGUUGGGCUCAACUCAACAGCGCGCAGGGAACACUGCUCGACUAGGGACCAGGAGAGGCAGGCGAUAUUCCCAGGGGAGCGGUAAAAUGCGAUAAUCCUGGGAGGAUCACCGAUGGCGAAGGCAGCCUGCUAGAAUGGAUCCGACUGUGAGGGAUGAAAGCUAGGGGAGCGAUCCGGAUUAGAUACCCGAGUAGUCCUAGCCGUAAACGCUGCAUGCUAGAUGUUGCACAUUCUUCGGGAAUGUGCAGUGUCGUAGAGAAGUCAUUAAGC